rnacentral:rRNA from 1 species
GACGAACGUUGGCGGCGUGCUUAAUACAUGCAAGUCAACUGAAGCAGUGGUAGCAAUAUCGCUGUGGAGGUGGCGCACGGGUGAGUAACACGUAGGUAAUCUGCCUUCAGGUCUGGCAUAACUCCGGGAAACCGGGGCUAAUAGCAGAUGAUGCAGCGGCUCGACAUCGAGACAGUUGUUAAAGCUAUGGCGCCUGAAGAUGAGCCUGCGUCUGAUUAGCUAGUUGGCGGGGUAACGGCCCACCAGGGCAACGAUCAGUAGCUGGUCUGAGAGGAUGAUCAGCCACACUGGAACUGAGACACGGUCCGGACUCCUACGGGAGGCAGCAGUAAGGAAUAUUGCUCAAUGGGAGAAAUCCUGAAGCAGCAACGCCGCGUGAGGGACGAAGGGCUUUUGCUUGUAAACCUCUGUAGUGAGAGAAAAAAAUCCCAAUCUUUGGGACAUGAUGGUAUCUCAAAAGUAAGCCCCGGCUAACUACGUG